rnacentral:rRNA from 1 species
UGUGGUUAUUAUAGCGAGGAGGAUACACCUGUUCCCAUUCCGAACACAGAAGUUAAGCUCCUUAGUGCUGAAGGUACUUGGUGGGAAGCUGCCUGGGAGAAUAGGACAUAGCCACGU